AAAAACAAGUGAAUGGGAUCGCACCAAAACAGUGCGACCCAGUAGGAAAAGAAAAGUUUAAGACACGUUUGAGAAAAUUUAUCGGGCUUUGUCAGAACAGGAGAUUGACAGUCUUGUCUCCCUUGCAAGUAGCACCCAACGCUUGUAUCUCCGAUGACUUCUCCGAACAUCUCUUUGGAAGAUAUGUGCCAAAUCCAGGAACGUAUUUGUUCCCAAGCUUGAGAAAUGGACUCUCCAAGCUCUCAACCUGAAAACAAGAAUGGAAAAUCAAACAUGAGUUGGACCCAAGAUAUGGAUAAGGUUGACAAAAGUUUCAAAGCACCUGCCUACACUACAGCGGCACAUGCUAUUAGCACGGAGUUUUCAAUUGACUAUAUACAAAGACACAUACGGAAUAGGCUGAAAACAAUCAAGCGGAACUUUGUCAUAUUAAAAAAAACUUUUGAAUCAAAGUGGCUUUGCAUGGAAUGAUUCAACCAAGACAACAGAUGCAACACCUGAUGCUUGGGCUACAUAUAUUGAGGUAAAAUAGAUUAAUAACACUCUCUUUAAGCACUUAAUUUUCGAAUUAGUAUGAAAGAUGACUUAUAAUGAAACUCCCAUGGUAACUGAGCAAGCACAUCCAAAGGCAAAGCAAUUUAGACGAAAAAGCAUUCCCAACUAUGACCAAUUGGCAUUGGUCCGUGGAAAUGAUCAAGUGACUUGAAAUGGUGCUUUCACAGCCAAGGAGCUAAACGAGCAAGAUGCAAUUUCCACAACUGCUAGUGCAACACCGAAUGCUGAGCAUGUGUUUAAUGACAUUGAUGAGGUAGAGAAUUUUGGAGAUCUUAACCUUUAGGAAAGGCCAGUGGAGACAAGUAGUUCUGUAGAGGGAAGAGUUUUAGGAAAACAAAAGUCAUAUGCUUCAAUUGUCAUUGAACAAGUGCUAGAUAUUGCUACACAUCUUGGGAAACUUGCAUCUACAGUUGAGAGAGGGUUUGGUUUAUUCAACAAGGAGAAAGUGUAUGCAAAUGUUAUAAGUCUAGAAGGAUGUUCGGUGGAAUUUCUAAUGAAAGCAUAUGACUUCUUAGUUGAAUCUAAGAGUUGAGUUAUGACAUUUUAUGGAGUGGAGCCACAUCUGAGUAAGACGUGGUUUCAAAUGAAGUUGGGGCCUCCAUAUUGAAGGAAGGAAUGAGAGACUUGAACUUUACAACUAACAAACUAGGUAUUAAGUAUUAAACUAUAUAUGACAAAAACUUAUUUUGAUGGUUAAGCUUUUGCAUCCAUUUUGUAUAUUUUUUUGGGAUGCAUUAGCAAUUUGAUGGUUGUCCCCUUUUUGUGAUGGUUAAUCUACUUUAUUUUGAUGAUUAUUAAACUAUACUUGUGUUAAGUGGAAUGUAUGGUUAUAUUCUACA